CUCUCCUCAGGAUCUCACAUGAAAGCACUUUGGCUCUGUUUUGCAUUAGCUUGCUUCCAACGCCAAAGAGCCUCCGGACUCCUAAAGCGCAUACCACAAACCCCUGCUCUGAGAGGGAAGCCAGUGGGGUCGCAGGCAGCUCACAGCCAGGGGCUCACCCAUACACCUGCAGACUCGCUACAGAGAGUCUGACCCUUGCGUCAAGCAGGUUCUCAAUCAGCAUGCAAAAAAAUCACAAAGCAGAACAGGGAAGAAUUAUUUUUCCAUUGUAAAAGUGAGGAACUCUGUUGCUCCCACAUCUGCCAAGCAAGAGUGAUAAAGAUAACCUCAUUCAAAAUCUGCAUCAGACAACUCUUCACGCUAAACCUGCAGUAUCUGGGGAAAAUUACUGGAAAAGAAGCUCAAAACUUCGUGGCCUAAGGUAAAACAUAAAUAUAUUCUUACACCAAAAAUUUGAUUCUGUUUCUGGUAUUUCAGCCCUGUUAGAAUUCAUUUGCCUCCCAUUUUUUUUAAUGACAAUUUAUAGAAUUAUGAUGUAGGAUUUAUAAAAGAAAAUGUGAUUUUUUUACUAUUCUCAUUCAAAAUGUAAAAAUCACUGUAUUUUAGUUGUUUACAUAGCACAUAAGCACCUGAAAAAUAACAUUAUGAAACAAAUAGGGCAAAUCGACCCUAUAGAGCUUUGUGCAUAUGCUUCAUUUGACAAGCCAGCGGUCAGCAGACAUCUUGCUAUUGUGUGGAGUUAAACAAGUCUGUCAGACUUCAGAGUGCAUUUGGAAUAAUUAAAUAUUGCAUAAUUUGGCACUUGCACAUGGACAAAUCUUGAGACUAUGUCAGUCAGCAGCAAAACUCACAAUGACUUUGUGAGCUUCAUCGUUUGGCGCAUAACAGGAAAAAAACUAUGACAAUUUACGGCAAAAGAGGGUACUUGGAAAAAAUAAAGAUGUUGUCAAAUGCUUGGAUUGAGAAUUUUUACUGGAGGCAAUUUUAAGAACAAGUCACCAAGGCAUAAUUCUACACAUUAAGUUUUUCUUUCCAAACGUGAAUGUUAGAAAUAUAUUAAAAUUGAGUGGUAGGAAGAAAUGGGAAAGGAUACUAGAAGAAUUCAAUAUGAGCUUCUUUUUUUACUUCAGUUUCUUAAACUGUGGUGCUUUCAGUAACAUUCCCAUCACCUUGAGAAUCAAGACAAAGCCAUGCAACAGCAAGGAGUGUGCUGAACAUCUGAGUCGUUCAUUUCUUCCUCCUUCAGUAAGAUUGAAGUACACAGGCACAGCUGACCAAUAAAGUAAUGGGAAAACAAGUGCAUGAGAGGAGAAGAAAUUGACUGACAUAAGUUCUGGAAGACAAGCCUGUUCAUUUCUUUCUUGGAGAACGAACGUCAAGUCCCAUUCAAUGACAGAGAGCCUAAAGCUUUCAAGGUUACUAAGUACUUCAUCUGCACUCCACACCUUGAACUGUUCAGUGCCAUACCUGCUGUUCUGAUGACAUUAUCGAUAACCUCCCUGGGGACCGGCUCAUCACUGAGAAACCUGACAGAUCGCCUUUUAUUAAGAAGCUCAUAAAACAUCUGUGAC